rnacentral:tRNA from 1 species
GGCGCGUUCGUCCAGUGGCCAGGACACCACGUUCUCACCGUGGGAACACGAGUUCGAUCCUCGUACGCGCUG